AAAAAGAAGAGUAGAGUUAGAAUUUUAGAUUGCCUGUUUAUUUAUUUUAAAGAUGAAAUUUUAGAGAUUUAAACAAUUAAAAAAUAAAUAAAUAUACAUAUUAUAAAUCAUUGUAUCCACAAAUAUUAGGAAUAAUAUCAAUUGUACCAAUUUUUUUUAGAUAGAUGAAAUGACAAGUUAUUGAAAAUUCAGACACACAAAGUAGAUG
rnacentral:lncRNA from 1 species